UCUGCCCCUAGAGUCCUUGUAGGUGUGGCUGCCAUGUUACAUGUACGUCAGUUGGUGGCAGAGAGGAGAGAGGCUAUGGCUAUGCUCAGUGUUCUGAUCUGUGAACAUCUGAAUGAUUAAUACCCACAUAUU
ensembl:snoRNA LOC120096801 small nucleolar RNA SNORA17